UACGUAGGGGCCAAGCGUUGUCCGGAAUUAUUGGGCGUAAAGAGCUCGUAGGCGGUCUGUUACGUCUGCUGUGAAAACCCGGGGCUUAACCCUGGGCUUGCAGUGGAUACGGGCAGACUAGAGGCAGGUAGGGGAGAAUGGAAUUCCCGGUGUAGCGGUGAAAUGCGUAGAUAUCUGGAGGAACACCGGUGGCGAAGGCGGCAUCCUGGACCAAUUCUGACGCUGAGGAGCGAAAGCCAGGGGAGCAAACGGG
rnacentral:rRNA from 1 species